GACCUGAGAGGCUAGUUUAGGGACAAAUCAUCGUUCAGAAAAUCUAUCAAUGGGAUCACUAAAAGUUGACAAUAACUCGAUGGCGUAUAAUCCAUUAUUCCUCUCACACACCCCCACACCUCUCUUCCCCUCCUGCGCACAAAUACAGGCGCUUCUUCCAGACCGGGCGCCUUUCCUCAGCGGCUCUCCCCAGGGCCAGGGCACCCCUGGGCUUCUUCCUUUCGGGCCACCUGUCACAUAAUCAGCCGGUCUCUUUGACGAAGCAGCAGCGGGGCUCGCUCUUCCUCGCUUCUCCCCACCCAGCCAGACCAUACAAGACGCGCGCAAAAUCUCCACUCCACAGCCUUCGCGGGAGUCGAGCCGGCGUGGCUGCGGAGAAAGGCCGGCUGAAGAAGUUCCGGCGGCCGCCACACCUACCGAGGCUCCUGGAAAGACGGGCAGCCGCCAGCCCAGCCGGAGGAAGAGGAGGAGGAGAAAGGCGGCGAUCAGCCCAUGAAGCGCAGUCCGCUCGGCGGCUCUCUCUCGGACGGGAAAGGCAGAGGAGGGCGCCGAGUGCCCGAGGCUCUCCAGGCAGCGGCAGGUGUUGAAAAGUACCAUAUGCUGCGUCCGAGUUAUCUAAACGCGGUGGAAAUAAUGUUUGCCUCCAAACGUUUGACGGCCGCAAAGAUAAAGGGCCUGAUGGAAAUCUGGAGUUGGACAAGAAAGCAGCAGGAUAACCAGGAAGAUAGGAAGCAGAGUUUCACUUGCACUGUGUGGAAAUCGAAUGGCUUGCAAGAUAAGUGCCUAUCUAUAAUGGACGUACAGUAAUUUUAUGCUUCGCAAAACUUCUGAAGUACUACUGUAGAAUCAUCGAAAUAAAAUAUUCUCUGUGUUAAAGAGGGAGCAUUGGAUUCUGUUUAUUCAGAUGACUUGCUUUAUCUGAAUAUGGUUAAAACCAGAGAAUGCACAGAAGAUACCAAUAUCUGUGAAAUACUUUUGCAAUGUUCUUUUUCUCUUUGGUAGGAAAGGGCAUAACUCUUCCAAGUUAGAAUGAUUGUAAAUGGCAGUUUCUCUACUGCUGAGUUUGUACAUUGCUUCUUAUUAGGAAGUAGGUACAGGGCAUAUAGUAGCCUAAGAACAAAAAACAGUUGCAUUGUAGUACUUGCUUCCAUUAUACUUUGAGCUUUUGGGAUGAACUUGUCAAUUCAGCAUAGUUUUCUUAUGCUCCAUAAACAUUUCCAUGUCUUUAGCAUUGAUUCCUAUAUCCUGUCUGAAAAUUUUAAAAUAGAG
rnacentral:lncRNA from 1 species